AUUGAACGCUGGCGGCAUGCCUUACACAUGCAAGUCGAACGGCAGCAUGAUCUAGCUUGCUAGAUUGAUGGCGAGUGGCGAACGGGUGAGUAAUACAUCGGAACGUGCCCUGUAGUGGGGGAUAACUAGUCGAAAGAUUAGCUAAUACCGCAUACGACCUGAGGGUGAAAGUGGGGGACCGCAAGGCCUCAUGCUAUAGGAGCGGCCGAUGUCUGAUUAGCUAGUUGGUGAGGUAAAGGCUCACCAAGGCGACGAUCAGUAGCUGGUCUGAGAGGGCGAUCAGCCACACUGGGAAUGAGACACGGCCCAGACUCCUACGGGAGGCAGCAGUGGGGAAUUUUGGACAAUGGGCGAAAGCCUGAUCCAGCAAUGCCGCGUGUGUGAAGAAGGCCUUCGGGUUGUAAAGCACUUUUGUCCGGAAAGAAAUGGCUCUGGUUAAUACCUGGGGUCGAUGACGGUACCGGAAGAAUAAGGACCGGCUAACUACGU
rnacentral:rRNA from 1 species